rnacentral:rRNA from 1 species
AUUGAACGCUGGCGGCAUGCCUUACACAUGCAAGUCGAACGGCAGCGCGGGAGCAAUCCUGGCGGCGAGUGGCGAACGGGUGAGUAAUAUAUCGGAACGUGCCCAGUAGUGGGGGAUAGCCCGGCGAAAGCCGGAUUAAUACCGCAUGAGACCUGAGGGUGAAAGCGGGGGAUCGCAAGACCUCGCGCUAUUGGAGCGGCCGAUAUCAGAUUAGCUAGUUGGUAAGGUAAUGGCUUACCAAGUCUAUAAUUCUUAGCUGGUCUUAGCGGAUGAUCAGCCACAUUGGGACUGAAACAUGGCCCAAGCUCUUUUUUGAGGCAGCAGUGAGGAAUAUUGGACAAUGAACGAAAGUUUGAUCCAGCAAUAUCACGUGAAUGAUGAAGGUUUAUUCUAUCGUAAAGUUCUUUCGUACGAGGAGGAUAAUGACGUUACUCGUAAAAGAAGUCCCGACUAAC